rnacentral:lncRNA from 10 species
CUCCAGGGCACCUAAGCAUGCGGCAAGAAGACAAUCAUCUGAAAGACAGGAAAAGGGCCCUUACCAAGUAUUGAAAUGGCCGGCACCUAGAUCUUGGACUUCUCAACGUUCCAGAACUGAAUCUUUUGAGACUGGGGCUACAAUCAUCACCAGGAUGAAGAUGAAGAAACAAAAGCUCAGAGGUAAAAUAACUUACCCAAAGUCUUAUGCCUCGUAAAUUGCUUGACUAAAAUUCAUACCUUGCUAUGUUUUAUUACAGAAUCCAUUAAAGUAAAAUGGAUGUUAAGCCUAAGUGCUCUUUAAAGUUUUCUAAUUCCUCAAAUAGUAUAACAGUGUAUUUCCUCCUUUAAAAUAAUUCUAUUGCUUAUUUUAUUUCAUGUCUCCUUGUUUUGCAC